AAGUCGUAACAAGGUUUCCGUAGGUGAACCUGCGGAAGGAUCAUUAGCUUAGCGCGCGAGCUGCAAAGCUCGCAUAAGCGCAAUCACACCGUGUGAACGUGGAAUGUGCGCAAAGCGCUGCAGUGUCUGGUGCUCUGGCGAGCGCGUCAAGCGAUUGGCGUCCGGCGGGGCAUCAGCAUUCAGCACUAAACCUUUGUAACAAUCCGUUAACGCUUAACACAAAACCUAAUAUUAUACACAACUUUUAACAAUGGAUCUCUAGGCUCCU
rnacentral:misc_RNA from 1 species